UACGGAGGGUGCAAGCGUUGCUCGGAUUCACUGGGCGUAAAGCGUCCGCAGGCGGCUGGGCAGGUCCGAUGUGAAAGCCCGGGGCUCAACCCCGGAAUUGCAUUGGAAACCGCUCAGCUUGAGUACGGGAGAGGGCGGUGGAAUUCCUGGUGUAGAGGUGAAAUUCGUAGAUAUCAGGAGGAACACCUGCGGCGAAGGCGGCCGCCUGGCCCGAUACUGACGCUCAUGGACGAAAGCGUGGGGAGCAAACAGG
rnacentral:rRNA from 1 species